GCUGGGACCAGGGCGGGCCGGGACCAGGGCGGGCCGGGACAAAGCCUGGGCCGGGCCUGCGCUUCCAUUCGCUUGACUGGCUGCGCUUGUUUUCAGGGUUUUGGUCUGAAAACGGAUCUUACCUGCGCAGAGCAAAAUCGGUUGUAGAUUAUAUCCACGAAAAUUCCUUCUAUUAAAAUGAAUUUCAAGUCCCACCUACCCUGGAAGCAGAAAGAGAGAGAAGAGAGAGAGUAAAGAGAAAGAGAAAAGAAAGAGAAGUUGAAAAAGAGAAAGAAAACCAAGAAAGAAAGAGAAAAAAACCGAAAAUAAAUGGACAAGAAAGAAAAGCCAACGUGCCAUGCAUCCCUGGAGCAUGAAACCCAGGAUGGGCCGCCUUCCAGCCUCCCGCAGCUGUGAUGCAAGUUGAACACAUACAGAGAGACUGCAUCUGCACUGGGUGGUUUUCCUGAGCCUUGGGGAGCAGAAUGCAUGAAUCCCAGGCGUCUGCCGAUCUGUAUGUAACAAAUUCACUUCAUGUAACUUACUGUGUGUCCGUGAGAUUAUCUCUCACUCAACUCAGACACAUUGGCAACCCGUGUGCAGUGAACCUGCUUCACAAGCAAGGAUGUGGAGAAACUAUUUUCGUACAUUUUGUGGGAAUCUGAAAUACUGCGGUCAGUGUGGAAAGCAGUAUCAUGGGAAACUUCCUCAACUCAAGAUCACCUACCAAUCCUUACAGAAUCAGAAUCAUCAUACAAACUGGUGAAAGCAUAGUUUCCCCUAGAGGUUGGGAUGAGGGCAAGAAUGUCCCCUCUUAUCACUACUAUUCCACACAAUAUGAAAGGUUCCAGCCAGUGAAAUAAAGGAAAAAGAAAUAAAAGUGACAGGCUGGGUGUGGUGUCUGAGGCCUGUAAUCACAGUGCUUUGGGAGGCUGAGGAAGGAGGGUGGCCUGAGGACAGG
rnacentral:lncRNA from 1 species